CGUAAAGCGAGCGCAGGCGGUUUUUUAAGUCUGAUGUGAAAGCCUUCGGCUUAACCGAAGAAGUGCAUUAGAAACUGGGAAACUUGAGUGCAGAAGAGGACAGUGGAACUCCAUGUGUAGCGGUGAAAUGCGUAGAUAUAUGGAAGAACACCAGUGGCGAAGGCGGCUGUCUGGUCUGUAACUGACGCUGAGGCCCGAAAGUAUGGGGAGCGAACAGGAUUAGAUACCCUGGUAGUCCAUACCGUAAACGAUGAAUGCUAAGUGUUGGAGGGUUUCCGCCCUUCAGUGCUGCAGCUAACGCAUUAAGCAUUCCGCCUGGGGAGUACGACCGCAAGGUUGAAACUCAAAGGAAUUGACGGGGGCCCGCACAAGCGGUGGAGCAUGUGGUUUAAUUCGAAGCAACGCGAAGAACCUUACCAGGUCUUGACAUCCUUUGACCACUGUAGAGAUACAGCUUUCCCUUCGGGGACAAAGUGACAGGUGGUGCAUGGUUGUCGUCAGCUCGUGUCGUGAGAUGUUGGGUUAAGUCCCGCAACGAGCGCAACCCUUAUGACUAGUUGCCAGCAUUUAGUUGGGCACUCUAGUAAGACUGCCGGUGACAAACCGGAGGAAGGUGGGGAUGACGUCAAAUCAGCAUGCCCCGUAUGACCUGGGCUACACACGUGCUACAAUGGUCGGUACAACGAGUUGCGAACCCGCGAGGGUAAGCUAAUCUCUUAAAGCCGAUCUCAGUUCGGAUUGUAGGCUGCAACUCGCCUACAUGAAGCCGGAAUCGCUAGUAAUC
rnacentral:rRNA from 1 species